CGUGGAGACAGGUGGUGCAUGGCUGUCGUCAGCUCGUGUCGUGAGAUGUUGGGUUAAGUCCCGCAACGAGCGCAACCCUUACCCCUUGCUGCCAUCAGGUCAUGCUGGGCACUCUAGGGGAACUGCCCCGGUCGACGGGGAGGAAGGUGGGGACGACGUCAAGUCAUCAUGCCCCUUACGUCCUGGGCUACACACGUGCUACAAUGGCCGGUACAAAGGGAUGCAAAAUCGCGAGGUGGAGCCAAACCCAGAAAGCCGGUCUAAGUUCAGAUUGGAGUCUGCAACUCGACUCCAUGAAGGAGGAAUCGCUAGUAAUCGCGCAUCAGCACGGCGCGGUGAAUACGUUCCCGGGCCUUGUACACACCGCCCGUCACACCACGAAAGCCAGCUGUACUCGAAGUCGCUGAG
rnacentral:rRNA from 1 species